rnacentral:rRNA from 1 species
UGAGCAACCUGCCUUUCAGAGGGGGAUAACAGUUGGAAACGACUGCUAAUACCGCAUAACGCUGCGAUGGGGCAUCCCGAUGCAGCCAAAGGAGCAAUCCGCUGGAAGAUGGGCUCGCGGCCGAUUAGCUAGUUGGUGGGGCAACGGCCCACCAAGGCGACGAUCGGUAGCCGGACUGAGAGGUUGAUCGGCCACAUUGGGGCUGAGACACGGCCCAGACUCCUACGGAAGGCAGCAG